CCUACGGGAGGCUGCAGUGGGGAAUAUUGGACAAUGGGCGAAAGCCUGAUCCAGCCAUGCCGCGUGUGUGAAGAAGGCCUUCGGGUUGUAAAGCACUUUCAGUGGGGAAGAAAGCCUUGGGGCUAAUACCCUCGAGGAAGGACAUCACCCACAGAAGAAGCACCGGCUAACUCCGUGCCAGCAGCCGCGGUAAUACGGAGGGUGCGAGCGUUAAUCGGAAUUACUGGGCGUAAAGCGCGCGUAGGCGGUCUGAUAAGCCGGUUGUGAAAGCCCCGGGCUCAACCUGGGAACGGCAUCCGGAACUGUCAGGCUAGAGUGCAGGAGAGGAAGGUAGAAUUCCCGGUGUAGCGGUGAAAUGCGUAGAGAUCGGGAGGAAUACCAGUGGCGAAGGCGGCCUUCUGGACUGACACUGACGCUGAGGUGCGAAAGCGUGGGUAGCAAACAGGAUUAAUACCCGGGUAGUC
rnacentral:rRNA from 1 species